GACGAACGCUGGCGGCGUGCCUAAUACAUGCAAGUAGAACGCACAGUUUAUACCGUAGCUUGCUACACCAUAGACUGUGAGUUGCGAACGGGUGAGUAACGCGUAGGUAACCUGCCUGGUAGCGGGGGAUAACUAUUGGUAACGAUAGCUAAUACCGCAUCAUAUUGAUUAUUGCAUGAUAAUUGAUUGAAAGAUGCUAUUGCAUCACUACCAGAUGGACCUGCGUUGUAUUAGCUAGUAGGGGAGGUAACGGCUCACCUAGGGGGAGGUACAUAGCCGACCUGAGGAGGAGGUCGGGCACACUGGGAAUGGGACACGGGCCAGACUCCCACGGGAGGCAACAGUAGGGGAUUUUCGGCAAUAGGCGGAAGGCUGGCCGCGCAAAGCCGGGGGAGGGGAGGAGGGUUUCGGGUCGUAAAGGUCUGUUGUAAGAGAAGGAAGAGUGGGAGAGUGGAAAGUUCACGCUGUGACGGUAUCUAACCAGAAAGGGACGGCUAACUACGUG
rnacentral:rRNA from 1 species